CAGCCGCCGCGGUAAAACGAAGGGUGCAAGCGUUACUCGGAAUUACUGGGCGUAAAGCGUGCGUAGGUGGUUGUUUAAGUCUGCUGUGAAAGCCCUGGGCUCAACCUGGGAAUUGCAGUGGAUACUGGGCAACUAGAGUAAGGUAGAGGAUAGUGGAAUUUCCGGUGUAGCAGUGAAAUGCGUAGAGAUCGGAAGGAACAUCUGUGGCGAAGGCGACUAUCUGGGCCAUUACUGACGCUCAUGCACGAAAGCGUGGGGAGCAAACAGGAUUAGAUACCCCUGUAGUCCCUGUCUCUUAUAC
rnacentral:rRNA from 1 species